CACACUCCAAGCGAAGCUUGAUGUUGGGCGGUGCGGUCUCUCCGGAGAUUGCAAGCCUGGAACGCGUGGGCGCCCACCGCCGGAUCACGAGCGUAGCAAGACAUUUCGUCAUUUCGUUCUGUGGACUCUGACGGAGGGCGGCCUCAUACUUUUCUGUUACAGAA
rnacentral:misc_RNA from 1 species